rnacentral:rRNA from 1 species
UACGGGGGGGGCAAGCGUUGUUCGGAAUUACUGGGCGUAAAGGGCUCGUAGGCGGCCAACUAAGUCAGACGUGAAAUCCCUCGGCUUAACCGGGGAACUGCAUCUGAUACUGGAUGGCUUGAGUUCGGGAGAGGGAUGCGGAAUUCCAGGUGUAGCGGUGAAAUGCGUAGAUAUCUGGAGGAACACCGGUGGCGAAGGCGGUUCUCUGGGCCUGACCUGACGCUGAGGAGCGAAAGCGUGGGGAGCGAACAGG